GCUCCUGGUUCUGCGGCCAGCGCGCUCCUGCGCCUGCGCACUCCCAGUCCCCAGGGCGCCAGGUGGGCAGUCCUUGCGCGGCCGUUUUACGCCUCUGGACUACAUUUCCCAAAGGCCACUGAGGCCAGGCCAAUUUAGCUUGGACUACAUUUCCCAGAGGCCACCGGGGACAACCAGGACCCCGGAUCCCACUGCCAGUUUUUCGUUACCGUAGCCCAGCCAGCAGCGAGCUUAGGCUAAGGCAGUGCGUGUUCUCUGGGGAAGGGCUUUGCAGGACUCCGACCAACCCCACGGGGUAACCAGGGCUUGAGUGAAGACGACAACAAUAAUGGGAGGAACUGGGGGACCUCUGCGGACGUGGGCCGGCGCGGGACCCGGACCCUAACAGGCGGCGAGCGCGAGGGCAGGGAGGCUCCGUGGGCUCUGGCGGGGUCUCAGGCGCGGGGGUCGUUGCGUGCGCUCGUGCGCGUGCCCGCGAGGACUGGGUGCCCCUGCGUCCGUUAGCUGUGGAGGUGCCGCCGUGACCUAGGCCUCGGCUCGGCUUCCAGCCGCCGCGCGGGUCCGCACCGGGCAGUGGGCCCGCGCCGGGGCGGUUACCAAGCCUUCCGGUGAUGUUCUCCCGCAGGAGACGCAGAACUACGAUUGCACGAGUUCUCUGUCGUGUGUGUGUGUGUUUAUCCAGUCACUCCUGUAUUUGAGAGAGCGAGGGAGACAGACAGGUCCCCCUUCCGCGGGCGCGCUCCCCAGAUGCCCUCAACGGCCAGGUGUGGGCCAGGCCGGAGCCUGGAGCCCGCGCUGCCUCCCAGGGGUGCGCCAGCAGGGAGCCGGUCUGGGUGGCCUCGGGCUGCGGGAUGCGGUGUCCCGGCACCGUGCUGACCGCUGCUGACCUUUCUGAGCCAGAGGGGUCUUCAAGGGACCUCCCCCGCGGAGACUGCGCCUCCUGCCAGGCUGGGAGCUUGGGGAAGCAGCGCCCGGCUCCCUUUCUCUCCCGUUGGUUCUGGAUGUGAGGCUGUGCUGGGAAUGGCCGUGCGCACGAUCAGAGCUCAAGACCGUGCAGCUGGCUAGCUUGGGUUUCCCAGAGUCUGAUAGAACUCCAACAGAGACGGAUUGGUUCUCACGUUCCUAAAGGCAUGGCUCACGUUCCCACCGGCCAGGCCUCGUCUCCUCCCUUCCAAGGGCUUGCUCACCUGCUGCUGCACCUGCUGCUGUGGCAGUUUUACACUGAACUCAGAUCUGCUCCCAGAUGCUUCAACACACACACGGUUUGUGCCCGGGAUAUGAGGCCUGAUGUGCAGCCAAGUGUGAAAUGUCUUUCACACACACGUCACAGGGUGACGACCUGAAAGCAGAGAAAUGCCGGCCAAGUUCACGUAAACUCUGAUAACAGCAAACGGCCCCAUCGCAUGUGCCCACCUGACCCAGGGAUGACUUCACGGGAUUGUUGGAAACAUACGAAACCUUGGGUAAUGGUAAGGAGUGGUCCACAUGGCAGUGCUGGCCUGGCCGGAUCACAAACUGGGAAAGCCCAAGAACACAAGGAUGGGGUUCAGUGCUGGGUGGUGAGACAGGAUCUCCAGCUCAUGUCCCUACCGAGACCUUUAAGCGGGGACUUGCCUACAGCAGGAGUGUCCAGACCCAUGAAAAUCUUGUUGCAGCCGAGCUCUAUACCAGAACUUCUAGGCAACGUGUGCAUCUGAUGACACCUGCAGCGUAGGCCACCGUGGGCAAGUGCCACAGCAGAAGCUGUGGAGUCGGCCUGAGGCCACGAGGGUGGAGCACGGGCAGAGAUGACCAUGGGCAAGGCGUCACGGUGAGAGGGGCACACUUGGCGUUCUCUGGGUGGUCCUGAGCAGGAAGCUGGCGGUAAUGAAUCACAAGACUCCCACCUUUGUCGGGACAGAAAAUGCAGCGACUAUCUCAGGUGACGACUACAACUUUCACACGGUCACACACCCUUGCACCAUUGGGCUCUUUUGUUUUAUUUUAUUUCAUCUUCUUCAAAAAUCAAUGCAAUUUAUUUUUAAUUUCUAAUUGACAACAUCACGUGAAGGGAUCAUGUACAACAUGGUUUUGCAAUACGUGCGGGUUGUGGAAUGGCUAAAGCGAUCUAGUUCAUAUAUGUCUUAUCUCACAUAGUUACGGUCUUUGUGGUCAGAACACCUACAAUCUACUUUCUUGACAUGCUCCAAGAACACAGUGUGCUGUUGUUAUCUAUGGAAAACAGAGUUCUUCAAGUCCUUCACCUGCCUAACUGAAAUUCUGGAGCCUUUGAUCAGCACUUCCUCUCUCCGCCCGCUUCCCACCGCGGCCCCUGCACCUGCCCGGCCACCGUUCUGCACCCUGCCCCUGCCCGGCCAGCGUUUGCAGAUUCCACCUGUUGUGGACGACAGCCCUUUAUCAAAUGUAUUUUGCAAAUAUUUCUUUACGCUCUGAGGCUUGACUUCUUAUCCUGUUGACGGUGUCUUUGGCAAAGUGGAAGUUUUUCAUUUUAAUGGAGUCCAAUUUAGUAAUUGUUUCUUUCUUGGAUCAUGCCUUUGUGUUAACUGGUAAAAAGUCCUAGCCAAACCCAAGGCCAUCUAGAUUUUUUUCUGUGCUAUCUUCUGGGAGUUUUAUAGAUUUGCAUUUUACAUUUAUUAUAAUGCACUGAGAUAGUAUUUUUUUAAAAGAUUUACUUAUUUAUUUGAGAGGCAGAGUUACAGACAGAGAGAGGGAGAAAGAGAAAGAGUGCGCAUGAGCGAUCUUCCAUCCACUGGUUCACUCCCCAAAUGGCUGAAAUAGCUGAAGAUGGGCUGACCUGAAGCCAGGAGCCAGGCGCUUCUUCUGGCUCUCCCACGUGGGUGCAGGGGCCCAAGCACUCGGGCCAUCCUGUGCUGCUUUCCCAAGUCAUUAACAGGGAGCUGGAUGGGAAGAGGAGCAGCCAGGACACAAACCCGUGCCUAUACGGUAUGCUGGUGCUGCAGGCGGGUGGAGGCUUAACCUACUAAGCCACAGCGCCAGGCCCUCAGCUAAUUUUUGUGAAGAGUGUAAGGUCUGUGUCCAGAGUAUUUUGGUAUUUUUUGUCCAGUAACUCCAUCAUUUCUUGAAAAGAUGCUGCUUUUUCCAUCAAGCUGCCUUUGCUCAUUUGUCAAAAAUUAGUUGACUGCGGACGCAUCCAUGAAGGAUCAGAGUGUUCUUGUCACUGGGUACAGGGCCGUCUAAGGAUGGCAGAUUCUCACCAUGCACAGCUUCACUCUCCCUGAUUCUAGCCACUCUUAGAAAACACUCUGCUAUGUUCUGUUUCAAGGCUAAGUCCUUGGCUUCCCCUCUCCCCCAUGCAAGCAGCUGGGGCCGAGCAAGCCAGUCAGAGAGAGGCUCAUCUCUGCACCUGCAGCCUCUCCCGAGGGCCCAGCUGCAACGCCGUCGCAAGCUCGGCGCCUGGCUGAGCAGUCUGGGACUGUAUCAGAGCCACCCGCAGAUGCGCUGUCCUGCCGCAUCUUCCGGGAAACCAGCCCCCUUCUCUGCACCGCUAACCCAGACGUCCUCAGCAAGCAGGCGGUCGGUCCUGCUUCAGGCUGCUGAUCUGCUGUGGUCCUCGUCUAUUAACAGAUUAAACUGCCUCGCUCCUUCACCCCCAGACCUUGCCCUCGUUAUAUUUUUUUCAGAUUUAUUUAUUUUUAUUUGAAAAUCAGUUACAGAGAGGCAGAGGGGGAGGGGUGAUUUUCCAUUCACUGGUUCACUCCCCAAAUGGCCAGGUCACCACCAUGCGCUCUUGAGUUUGUCCUUGAGUUAGGGGAGGAAGAGGAGUGGCAGAGUUAAGGUUUUGAACCACAGUGGAAAAUAAUGUGAGGACGAGGAAGCAGAGGACUCCCAGGAGAGGCAAGGUGAGAGGACAAGAAGUAGCGUUUCUCCUAGGAGAGAGGUUUAGACAGCGCGGGGGGACGACCUUGAACCCAGCCUGCCGCUGCCUCCACAGCUCUCCAGCAAGGAACUUCAGGGUCAGCCCCUGGAGUGGGACUGGGAUGGCUGCGGGCACUCUGGCCCCGCUGCAUUUCUGAGACCGGAAGUCUGAAGGUGUCUCCGCUCGUGAAGGGAUGGGGCAGGAAAAGGAAGAGUUUGCGAGCCCCAGGAUAAGGGUGGAGCCAAAGGCAUCCCGGAAAUGAAUUCCACCGCAGGGGAAGUGAAGGAGUAACCUCUGCUGAGUCAGCCUGUCCGGUGCUUCCUGCUGCAGUUGAGAAACGACCCACCAUCCUGCCUGUAGUGAGCCGCUCCGACGCCUUUGAGAAAGAUGGGAAAAUACUCCUCAUCUCCAGGGACUGGGGAUUGAUGCAGCAAUGGAUCGGUACAAAUAAACCUACUAAAGCAAUGUGUGUGUGUCGGGGACAGGAGGCAGAAGCUGGCCAAGAUGCCUGGAGCCCUUGGUGGAGUGCCUGGGCGCCACGCCCUCCUCUGACUCCUGUGGCUCCAGCUUCCCAUCAACGCAGAACUGGAAGGCAGCAGUGACGACUCAAGUGGCGGUGUUCCUGCCACCCGUGUGAGAGGCCUGAAUUGAAUUCCUGGCUCCCAGCUUCAGCCCCAGACUAGCCGCAGCCAUUGUCGGCAUCUGAGAAGUGAAUCAGCAGAUGGGUGGUAUCUGUCCAUCUAUCCAUCAUCUACCAAUCUAUCCAUCUAUCUACCUAUCUAUCCAUCUACCUAUCUAUCCAUCUAUCUACCUAUCAUCUAUCCAAGGCCCCUUUUGUCGGAGACCACACAUUGCCUCCAGUUUUGAAGAGCGUUGUGCCGGUUGAGGGAGAAGCAUCUUCGAAAUCACUGCUUCCCAAAUGCGUCCCGUGCCCAUCUCCCUUGACCCCAAAGUGUGUCAGGAAUGGGAACAAAUCUGUCCCAAGCAUGAGGACUAUCAGUGACC